rnacentral:rRNA from 1 species
AGAGUUUGAUCCUGGCUCAGAACGAACGCUGGCGGCAUGCCUAACACAUGCAAGUCGAACGCCUGUAGCAAUACAGGAGUGGCGCACGGGUGAGUAACGCGUGGGAACCUGCCCUGGAGUGGGGGAUAACCGAGGGAAACCUCGGCUAAUACCGCAUACGACCUGAGGGUGAAAGAUUUAUCGCUCUAGGAGGGGCCCGCGUCGGAUUAGCUAGUUGGUGGGGUAAUGGCCUACCAAGGCUACGAUCCGUAGCUGGUCUGAGAGGAUGACCAGCCACACUGGGACUGAGACACGGCCCAGACUCCUACGGGAGGCAGCAGUGGGGAAUAUUGGACAAUGGGGGAAACCCUGAUCCAGCAAUGCCGCGUGAGUGAUGAAGGCCUUAGGGUUGUAAAGCUCUUUCGGCGGGGACGAUGAUGACGGUACCCGCAGAAGAAGCCCCGGCUAACUUCGUGCCAGCAGCCGCGGUAAUACGAAGGGGGCGAGCGUUGUUCGGAAUUACUGGGCGUAAAGGGCGCGCAGGCGGCUCAGACAGUCAGAUGUGAAAGCCCCGGGCUUAACCUGGGAACUGCAUUUGAUACUACUGAGCUUGAGUACGGGAGAGGAUAGUGGAAUUCCCAGUGUAGAGGUGAAAUUCGUAGAUAUUGGGAAGAACACCGGUGGCGAAGGCGGCUAUCUGGACCGUAACUGACGCUGAGGCGCGAAAGCGUGGGGAGCAAACAGGAUUAGAUACCCUAGUAGUCC